rnacentral:rRNA from 1 species
AGUGAACGCUGGCGGCGUGCCUAAUACAUGCAAGUCGAACGGAGUGGCGCACGGGUGAGUAAUGUAUAGCUAAUCUGCCCUACACUAGAGGACAACAGUUGGAAACGACUGCUAAUACUCUAUAGUGUAGGAUGAGGCUAUAUUGUAUCAGCUAGUUGGUGAGGUAAUGGCUCACCAAGGCUAUGACGAAUAACUGGUCUGAGAGGAUGAUCAGUCACACUGGAACUGAGACACGAGUCAGGCUCCUACGGGAGGCAGCAGUAGGGUGUAGUGCUCAAGGGGGGAAACCCUAGAGGAGCAACGGCGCGUGGAGGAUGACACUUUGCGGAGAGUAAACUCCUUUUGUUAGGGAAGCGGUACCUAACGAGUAAGCACCGGCUAACUCCGUGCCAGCAGCCGCGGUAAUAC